rnacentral:rRNA from 1 species
CGGGGUGCACAGGCGCGAAAACUUUACAAUGCCGGCAACGGCGAUAGGGGAACCUCGAGUGCCAGGUUACAAAUCUGGCUGUCGUGAUGCCUAAAAAGCAUUGCAUAGCAAGGGCCGGGCAAGACCGGUGCCAGCCGCCGCGGUAACACCGGCGGCUCGAGUGGUAACCGUUAUUAUUGGGUCUAAAAGGUCUGUAGCCGGCCGGAUAAGUCUCUUGGGAAAUCUGGCAGCUUAACUGUCAGGCUUUCAGGAGAUACUGUCUGGCUCGAGGCCGGGAGAGGUGAGAGGUACUUCAGGGGUAGGGGUGAAAUCUUGUAAUCCUUGAAGGACCACCAGUGGCGAAGGCGUCUCACCAGAACGGACCUGACGGCAAGGGACGAAAGCUAGGGGCACGAACCGGAUUAGAUACCCGGGUAGUCCUAGCCGUAAACGAUACUCGCUAGGUGUCGGCCACGGUGCGACCGUGGUCGGUGCCGUAGGGAAGCCGUGAAGCGAGCCACCUGGGAAGUACGGCCGCAAGGCUGAAACUUAAAGGAAUUGGCGGGGGAGC